CAACUUCGUCGAUUUCACAUCACGUACGCUGCAAAUAUUCACAGCACGAGCAAAUAGGGAAACGAACUGCAAACUGCGAAAACACAACGGAAAUGUUUCCAGGGGGGGCCAUAAUCAGUGACGGACCCACAUCCAUCCGGUUGUCUUCGCGCUUCUGAAUGUGCGCUUUUGUUGCUUAUGGCUACAAGACAUUGAAAUGUUCUGUCCGUUUUGUGCUGUGCAACUGGGGGACGCUCCCAAGUUUUGCCCGUCGUGUGGUAUGAACGUGGGGUUCCUUACGGAGCGUCCAUCCACGUCAUCAAGCGUAGGCCAUGGGCCUACAGAGGAUGACCUAAUACGUGCCUACUUCAGAAAGGACCACUCCAAUGAGAUUAUUAGAGAUUUUUUGGAGUCAAAGCAUGGGAUUGUUAUGAGCCUGAAAACUCUAAAAAGAAGGCUGAAACGGUUAAACCUAAGUCGGAGAGCAAAUUA